rnacentral:rRNA from 1 species
UACGAAGGGGGGCUAGCGUUGCUCGGAAUCACUGGGCGUAAAGCGCACGUAGGCGGCUUGUUAAGUCAGGGGUGAAAUCCUGGAGCUCAACUCCAGAACUGCCUUUGAUACUGGCGAGCUUGAGUUCGGGAGAGGUGAGUGGAACUGCGAGUGUAGAGGUGAAAUUCGUAGAUAUUCGCAAGAACACCAGUGGCGAAGGCGGCUCACUGGCCCGAUACUGACGCUGAGGUGCGAAAGCGUGGGGAGCAAAC